rnacentral:other from 1 species
GCCCUCCUGUGGUGUUUGUGAUGGCAUGGGGCAAGUUGAGCCAACAAUUUCCAAAAGGGAUUCCAAAUCGUAGCACGGAUUUCAUGCCCUCUUUAGAAGGGACGGAAGAACUGCUAGUGCGGAAACCCACCUGUCCAGACAGGUUCAAUGGAAUCCAUGUCAAACGGCACUUCACGGGAGGGUU